rnacentral:rRNA from 1 species
AUUAAUACCGCAUACGCCCUGAGGGGGAAAGUGGGGGACCGUAAGGCCUCACGUUAUACGAGCAGCCGAUGUCUGAUUAGCUGGUUGGUGGGGUAAAGGCUCACCAAGGCAACGAUCAGUAGCGGGUCUGAGAGGAUGAUCCGCCACACUGGGACUGAGACGCGGCCCAGACUCCUACGGGAGGCAGCAGUGGGGAAUUUUGGACAAUGGGCGCAAGCCUGAUCCAGCCAUGCCGCGUGUCUGAUUAUUGUUUCGGGUUGUAAAGGACUUUUGUCCGGGAGCAAAUCCCAGUGGUUAAUACCUACUGGGGCUGAGAGUACCGGAAGAAUAAGCACCGGCUAAAUACAUGACAACAAACGCGGUAAUACGUAGGGUGCAAGCGUUAAUCGGAAUUACUGGGCGUAAAGCGUGCGCAGGCGGUUGCGCAAGUCUGAUGUGAAAGCCCCGGGCUUAACCUGGGAACGGCAUUGGAGACUGCACGACUAGAGUGCGUCAGAGGGGGGUAGAAUUCCGCGUGUAGCAGUGAAAUG